AUUUUAUUGUUUUUGGACUCGAUAAAGUCGUAGACUUCAUGCCUACGUAUCUCCAAGGUGCAAUGGAGAAAUCAAAAUCCACGUAGUUCUCCCAAAAGAAAAGGGGAAAGUCUGUUUUGUUGAUUUUAGAUUUGAACGAGCCUAAACCCUAAAGAAAUAAAUAAAUGGGCUCAUUACAGGAAAGCCCAAGAGUAAGCUUAUGAGUGUGUGAAAAAGGUUUCUUAAACGGCGACCGUUGGAAUCGCAUCGGGUUUCUCUUUUUGGAUUUUUCGAUUUUUAACAUAAAACGUGAACAAUACAAUUAAACACACAAUACAA
rnacentral:lncRNA from 1 species